rnacentral:rRNA from 1 species
ACUCCUACGGGAGGCAGCAGUGGGGAAUAUUGCGCAAUGGGCGGAAGCCUGACGCAGCGACGCCGCGUGGGGAUGACGGCCUUCGGGUUGUAAACCUCUUUCGGCCCCGACGAAGCGUGAGUGACGGUAGGGGUGGAAGAAGCACCGGCCAACUACGUGCCAGCAGCCGCGGUAACACGUAGGGUGCGAGCGUUGUCCGGAAUUAUUGGGCGUAAAGAGCUCGUAGGCGGUGUGUCGCGUCGGCCGUGAAAACCUGCAGCUUAACUGUGGGCUUGCGGUCGAUACGGGCAUCACUGGAGUUCGGCAGGGGAGACUGGAAUUCCUGGUGUAGCGGUGAAAUGCGCAGAUAUCAGGAGGAACACCGGUGGCGAAGGCGGGUCUCUGGGCCGAUACUGGACGCUGGAGGAGCGAAAGCGUGGGGAGCGAACAGGAUUAGAGUACCCUGGUAGCUACGAG